CAAAUACUACCCCCAUCCGGAAAUACUUGUCAUCAAAAUGGAUAAAAGGAAAUGUAUCUAGACGUAUUUUAGUUUUAGAUACAUCUUUUUUUAUCCAUUUUGAUGACAAGUAUUUUCGGACGGAGGGAGUAGAAA
rfam:Triticum aestivum genome assembly, contig: Triticum_aestivum_CS42_TGACv1_scaffold_567921_7AL